UUCAAAGGUAAAAAAUAAGUGACAGAUGUAUUACAUUAUCAUUUUUAGAACUAAGAAAAAUGAUAGAGGAAUAAAUUACUAGUUGUAUGUCAAAAAGUUGUAAAAUAUAUGUGGCCCUGCCCACAUUCAAAAUUAAUUGGAACAAAAAGUCUUUGACUGUAAAAAAUCUGAAGCUUGGUGUGUUUUAAUGCUAUAUACAGCAAGUUGAUUUGCCAAAUAUGAUAGUUAUGAUCUAUUUACCAGUUUAGUACAUUUCGCUUACCAUCAUAUAAGUAAUUUACUUGAUACAUCUUACACUUGUAUCUGUGGUUGCUUGUGUAUAAAUAUAAUUUCAGGUAACUUGGUUGAUGUUAUGUAAUGGCAAAUCUUCAAGGAUUAUCUACUGUGACAGCAUGCCAAAGUCUUUACUGGACCGAAACAGCAAGCUGAGAUGCACCAGCCAGAAGCUGUUCAAAUUCAGUUUAUAACUUGAAGAUUUCUUGAAGAUCGUUUUGAUCAAUCAGAAAUUGGCUAGGAUUAACUCUGUAAGGAAUCUAAUAUAGAAUAUAUUGUUUACAUAAUUAAUAGAGCUUAACUGAUUCUCAAAUCUAUUCCUAUUUUAUUGGGAUUAUGAUAUGGGUCUUUCUAGUGUGUGCCCAUGGGCACACAUUAUACACUAUAUUUGAUGAGUUUGGUAGAUUUUAAUUGGUGGACUUGGUGUAAAUGCAGGGGGGUCAUCCUUAUUUAUGAUUAUAUGACCAAUAAAAAUGCACCAAACUCGUAGGAGUUGGUGCUUAUUGUGUGCCCAUGGGCACACAACAAAAAAACCGUUAUGAUAUACCUUUCCUUAUUAAUUUUAAACAGAUUUGUAUCAUCUUUUUUAUAUUUGAGGCUUUCCGAGACAGCCCAAAUUUGUUCAUAUCUUUUUCUAGCUUUAGGGAAUGAUUCAUGCAAUCAAAUAUUUUCUAUUCCCACAAAUGAAUCAACUUAGAACUAGCUUUUUCUAGCUUUUGGGGAAUGAUUUAUGCAAUCAAAUAUUUUCUAUUCCUACAAAUCAUCAACUUACGACUAGUCAUUUGUAUCCUUUCACAUGGAUAACACUUACAACCUUUCUUGUAAGCAACACACAUUCAUACAAGUUUUGAGACUCAACAUACAAGCUUUAUCUUUUCUCUCUCAAACACAUUCAAACACAAACUCUAGAACUAUAUUGUUCAUACAUAUAUUAUUAAAGAGAAUUCAUAUAGUUUGAGUUGUAAGCAUCUAUUGAUUAAAGUUGUAUUGAAAGUUUUAAAAUAGUGGCAAAGAGUUCUAUGUCAAGGAGCUGGGUGCUUAAGGAGCUCAUAGUUCUAAACACAUUGGUGUUAAACUAAUUAAGGAAUUCAAGGAGUGGGACUCGAGAAAUUCAAAGGUUCAGGAGGAACAAGCUUUUUAGUAAGUUGUGGGCUCGAGGUGGAUUUAGUGUCAACAAUCCAUUUUCAGAAACUGGAUUAAAAAGGAGAUAUAUUAUUGAAUUUGUGAAUGGUAUUUUUCAUUGAUCAAUAAUGUAUUCUCUUACCGGGUCGCAAGGGACCAGGACGUAGACCAUCAGUUAUUAGGUGUCGAACCUUAGUUAUUAGGGGUUGAUCAUGGCUAAAACUCAUUUAUCUUCUUUAUUAUUUGUCAUCUUUUAAUAUAUAGCAUCGUAAUAGCUUAUUGUUAUUACCUGUUACUCAAAUGAGCAAGCUCUUUGCAUACUGUUCUCAGGUCAACAAGUAAAUUUUUAAUAUUGUGGCAUACAUGUGACUUGCAAAUUAUUUACUAGAGCUACAAGAAAUCACGAAUUAUUUACCAUAUAACACCCAACAAUAUUGUAAUUCAGCAGUUAAAAGGAUGAACUAACCCCUGCAUUGACAAAUUAUGUACCUCUCCUUUUCCGUAUAUGAUUCCCGAAGUCCACAUGAUCUGAUCUCCUGACUCACGUCUGUCAGGAUCUAAGGAAUCUUUCUGUUUCUUCAGCCAACACUAAAAUACAGAGAAGCAGCGAAAGAACAGAAUUAGGUAAUAUGUUUACUAAGUGCCUAUUCAUAUUAGCACUGAAACCAAAAAAAAAAUAAACAGAAUGAGGUAGUCAUGUCUAUGAAGUGCCUAUUUAUAUAAAUAACUUAUGUUUUACCUGCUAAACAUUGAAAGAAAAAUAUAUGAUUUCCUGCCUUACAGACUUACAAUUUCCUUUUGGGAAGCUCCCUACAUCCAAAUACUCUGCUGCAUUAUUCCUAAUAGACUAAGUGUGAGGGGAUAAUUAAUUGAACUGUUCAUUAAAAUUGUUGCUACAAAUUCAAAACUCUAAGGAAACUUCAAUUUUGGCCUUCGACAUGUAGCUCAAAAAUACAUAUAUCUUCACGGUGCAGCGCAAGACUGGCACCACAGUUCAUCCUGGG
rnacentral:lncRNA from 1 species